AUAAUCAGAACAGUCAGAUAAGUGGUGCAAAACAGACAGUUAAUAAGCGGCAGCAUUCAGACUCAAACUUGGGACUGCUUGAUUUUAAAGUGUCACGAUCUUUUCAUGAUAUUAUAUUGGUUUAAAAAAAAAAAAAGAAGAUUGACACGUGCCUGCAGCUCCAGGAAGAGCUAGACUGGAGAGGUAAAUUAAGUCCGUUGGACAGUGGGAUCCUGAGAUAAGCAGAGGGCCAGGCCCUCAUGGAGAAACCGUGUAUUCUAUCUCUACCUGCCGUGGCCCCUCCGGGGGAGCUGCAGAGUGACUGCCCUUCCCCCGAAAGGUCUUUCCCAUUAAGCAGAUUGCACUUAGGAACACCCGCCCAGGAGCGCUCCAGCUGAUUUAAGCAUCUUUGCUUUUAAUUUUUGGUACCUUUCAGAGGGAAAGAGAAAAAUAAGGUUAGUUUCCUGAAGUGUAAUUGUUUCGGGCAGUUAUUUAUUAAUGAAAGGGAACAACAUGUCAACAAAGCCCGGGUUUAGCUGUAGAACUAAUGUUAGCCAAGGCGCAGGCUAUAAGAUAGGUAAGCCUGCUGUCAGUCUGCAUUUGUCCAGCUCCAUGAUCACCUAUUAAUUACUUGUGUUCCUGCCCCAGCUGGGGGACAGUCUCUGCUGCCUCCCCCUUGAGGGCUGCUGAGCUCCAGGGGUGGGGAGGCACCCUCUCUGACACGGUUCUCCUUACGGAGUUGUGUGGGCCUUGGCGAGUCCUCCAAGGUUCUGAAGACUCACUCUGGGCCUGUGCCCCAGGGUGGUGGCAGGAUAAGGCCAACAGCUUCCUCUGUGGAAGAAGUGGGGUGUGGAACUUUGACCUGGGUUGUCGGUGAGUUGCGUGAACGUGUUGUAUUUGGAGUCAGUGAGACCGUGGGGGACUGUUUUAAGUUUCCUCGUGUAUAAACAGGGGAGGAGGAUGAUAGGACAUCCCUCACAGGAUAGAAGGAUCGAAUGUGGUAAUGCACAUGGAAACUUGUGCAACACAAAGCAUGCUACAAAUCGUGUGCACGUGCACAUGUGUGCAGGCGGGCCUGUGAGUUUGGUCAAGGUGGAGUAACACUCAUGGGGAAGACCCAAGGAAACGAAGUAAUUGACCUGAAGAAUCCUCUCGCCUGGAAAUUAGAAAGGUGUAUGUCAGGGAUGCUCAUGACAACAUCUUUUUCAGCAAAAAUUUCAACAAAACUCUCGUCUAAUAGUAGUUUAGACUCAUGAAGGCAUUAAUAAUUCCUUUGCUGGGCUGAUCCACUGCUCUGUGCUGUCACCAAGGUGUUGGGCACUCCACUAUCCUUGACGUGUUGGUUUUCUGCCCUCACACUCACCCCCUCAUUACCAUGGAAUGGCUAGCAGCUUCUCACUCAAGACAGGAAGAAAGAAGGGGCUUCAUAAGCUGUAUCUCUCCAUUUUCCCUUGGAAAGCAAUUUUUUUUUUCCCCAGAAACCCCUGUCCAAAAUUGGUCCCAUGGCUACUCAGAUUGUAUGAGGACCCAUAAGGAAAUUUCUCCUUUCAAGGCAUUUCAAGAUAAAGGAAGCUCAUGAAAAGUUCCAGAUAAAGAUGCAGGAUGCUGAAGAAUCAAUAACAUUUAUUGAGUGCUUACUAAGUGCCAGGCACUGUUCUAAAUGUUUUACAUGCAAAGCUCACUUAACAGGGAGAAGGUCCUGCUGCCGGGACAGCCAAGCCCCCAUAGGCCGCUCCACAUACUUCUGUGCAGGCUGACAAAAUGCAAGAAGGUACCUGUGCAAACAUGGCUUUUAAUCAUGGUCAGGAAGACACGUGACCACUGGGUCCAUUUCAAUGACUUCAUCCAUUCUGCUCAACCUCCUGACUCUGCCCCUAUUGCUAUUUUGACAUUCAUUCACAUACUAGCCAAAGCUUUCCUGUCCCCACUACCUCCAUGUAGGCUGCAGCUGGAUAAACCAUCACUUACACCCAUUUUCUGGAAAGCUCUUCUUUGGGCAAGUGCUCAUUGAGUUUCUGAGAAAAGCUGCCAUGGGGGCCAGCAUACCACCUAGGGAAGAAACCCAUCAGCAAGGACAGGCUCGGAGCUCCCCAGAACAGCGUAUGAUUGUCAUAAUGUCAUGUUGGAGGAACGAUAACCUUACCCUGCUUAAAGAGAAACCUCUUGCGUGUCACCAACAAUCAUGCAAACUAGACUCUUAAAAUGAGAUUAGGUCAAAGUACAACCAAUCAAAGCGGGAGUCUCCGUCGCUCUAUGACUUCAUUUAAAGUUUCAGUGCCAGCAGGAAGAAGAAAGAAAUCAAUAUUACAUUUUCUUCAUCAUCAAUUUUGCUUUUUGCUAAAUGAAAAUGCUUUCAUUCCCUCCCUGGUUCCUUCCACCAUGGAAGAUGUUCCUUGUCUCCCCCCCCACUCUCCCCCGUUACUAUCUUCACCCCCAUCCUGUUAUGCCAUGUAGGACAGUGCCGUACGUGUGCCUUUUUGGACUAAGCACUUAAGAGUAUUGCAGAGGAUGUCAUCUUAAUUCACCAAAGAUUUGCGAGUAUGACAGUCCUCGCUCAGCUGGCCUUCCUGCUGCAGCUGGGCUCUGACCGUGUUCUGCUCUACGGAUGGAGCGUGGAUAACUUACUCCAAACAGCUCUUGAGGCCCCAAGGGCACAUCCCCCCUCAAUGCCCUGUGCCAGGCUGUAGUACCAGACCCUGUAGAAGGGAAUUUGAUAGGCAAGGCGAGCCCUUCUUGGAUUCAUUCACGGGCUUGGGUUACAGAAGCAGCAAAGGGACCUCAUUAUAAGAUGUUCUCACCUGCUCCGUUACAGAAGAACUGUAAGGCUUUUGCUGAACAACACAGUGGUCUCGUUCCCACAGUGGUCCCCACAGCAGUGGCCUUCAAGGGCUCUCAACCAGCUCCCACUCUAUUGGCGCUAAGAUGUUCCCCAUCCAGGACUUGACUCACUCGGCAGUAUUUGCGAAGAGAGACAGAAACAAGAAUUUUGCAAUAGAGGAAGGAAAAAUAAUACAAGUCCACGGGGCUGGAAACUCAUUUCCUGAGGAGUAGAAACACAUCGCAUGCUCUCUGGGACUCACCGAGCUCCAGGAAGCUCGACCAGUCACUUAAUAAGUCAUUGAGGACGUGUGGUUUAAUUAACUCGCCCAAAAUUCCUCCUUUCCCUUUCUCACUUUUGCUAUUAAUAUUUUUCGAUAUCUGAUAAUGCAGUGUAGUUAAUUCUUUCUGGCUUUAUAAUGAACACUGCCAUAAUGAAAAAGGUUAGCAGUGCUUCAGGCAGCUUUUAAUUAUCCAGCCGAGCAGGUAAAAGCACUUUAUUCUUCUCUUUUUUUCCCCUUACUUAGCAAUUAAUGGAGGAGCUCAGUGGCACUCACUGUACCUUUUUUGUUUUCUAAUGGAUGAUGCGGCACGGAGCAGGGAGGCCUUACUGUACCCCUGUUACUACCAAGUGCAAACGCUGGAUAUUGCACUGCUGCGAUUCAGGUCUCUGGUUUGCGGGGCGGAAGCAAUUCUGCUGCCGGCUGAAGGCUUCUCUAAUUAAAAAGCCGAGUUACCUGGAGUUGUUGCUACCAA